ACUACGGGAGGCUGCAGUGGGGAAUAUUGGACAAUGGGCGAAAGCCUGAUCCAGCCAUGCCGCGUGUGUGAAGAAGGCCUUCGGGUUGUAAAGCACUUUCAGUGGGGAAGAAAGCCUUGGGGCUAAUACCCUCGAGGAAGGACAUCACCCACAGAAGAAGCACCGGCUAACUCCGUGCCAGCAGCCGCGGUAAUACGGAGGGUGCGAGCGUUAAUCGGAAUUACUGGGCGUAAAGCGCGCGUAGGCGGUCUGAUAAGCCGGUUGUGAAAGCCCCGGGCUCAACCUGGGAACGGCAUCCGGAACUGUCAGGCUAGAGUGCAGGAGAGGAAGGUAGAAUUCCCGGUGUAGCGGUGAAAUGCGUAGAGAUCGGGAGGAAUACCAGUGGCGAAGGCGGCCUUCUGGACUGACACUGACGCUGAGGUGCGAAAGCGUGGGUAGCAAACAGGAUUAGAUACCCGGUAGUC
rnacentral:rRNA from 1 species